rnacentral:rRNA from 1 species
CCUACGGGGGGCAGCAGUGGGGAAUAUUGGACAAUGGGGGCAACCCUGAUCCAGCCAUGCCGCGUGUGUGAAGAAGGCCCUCGGGUUGUAAAGCACUUUCAGUGAGGAAGAACGCCUGGUGGUUAAUACCCAUCAGGAAAGACAUCACUCACAGAAGAAGCACCGGCUAACUCCGUGCCAGCAGCCGCGGUAAUACGGAGGGUGCGAGCGUUAAUCGGAAUUACUGGGCGUAAAGCGCGCGUAGGUGGCUUGAUAAGCCGGUUGUGAAAGCCCCGGGCUCAACCUGGGAACGGCAUCCGGAACUGUCAAGCUAGAGUGCAGGAGAGGAAGGUAGAAUUCCCGGUGUAGCGGUGAAAUGCGUAGAGAUCGGGAGGAAUACCAGUGGCGAAGGCGGCCUUCUGGACUGACACUGACACUGAGGUGCGAAGGCGUGGGUAGCAAACAGGAUUAGAUACCCUGGUAGUC